rnacentral:rRNA from 3 species
UGGAGGUAUCAGAAGUGCGAAUGCUGACAUAAGUAACGAUAAAGCGGGUGAAAAGCCCGCUCGCCGGAAGACCAAGGGUUCCUGUCCAACGUUAAUCGGGGCAGGGUGAGUCGACCCCUAAGGCGAGGCCGAAAGGCGUAGUCGAUGGGAAACGGGUUAAUAUUCCCGUACUUGGUGUUACUGCGAAGGGGGGACGGAGAAGGCUAUGUUGGCCGGGCGACGGUUGUCCCGGUUUAAGCGUGUAGGUGUGUGUUCCAGGUAAAUCCGGUUCACUUUAACACUGAGGCGUGACGACGAGGCACUACGGUGCUGAAGCAACAAAUGCCCUGCUUCCAGGAAAAGCCUCUAAGCAUCAGGUAACACGAAAUCGUACCCCAAACCGACACAGGUGGUCAGGUAGAGAAUACCAAGGCGCUUGAGAGAACUCGGGUGAAGGAACUAGGCAAAAUGGUGCCGUAACUUCGGGAGAAGGCACGCUGACACGUAGGUGAAGUGAUUUACUCA